AGUGAACGCUGGCGGUAGGCCUAACACAUGCAAGUCGAACGGCAGCACAGUAAGAGCUUGCUCUUACGGGUGGCGAGUGGCGGACGGGUGAGGAAUACAUCGGAAUCUACUUUUUCGUGGGGGAUAACGUAGGGAAACUUACGCUAAUACCGCAUACGACCUACGGGUGAAAGCAGGGGAUCUUCGGACCUUGCGCGAUCGAAUGAUCCGAUGUCGGAUUAGCUAGUUGGCGGGGUAAAGGCCCACCAAGGCGACGAUCCGUAGCUGGUCUGAGAGGAUGAUCAGCCACACGGGAACUGAGACACGGUCCAGACUCCUACGGGAGGCAGCAGUGGGGAAUAUUGGACAAUGGGCGCAAGCCUGAUCCAGCCAUACCGCGUGGGUGAAGAAGGCCUUCGGGUUGUAAAGCCCUUUUGUUGGGAAAGAAAAGCAGCAGGUUAAUACCCCGCUGUUCUGACGGUACCCAAAGAAUAAGCACCGGCUAACUUCGUG
rnacentral:rRNA from 1 species